rnacentral:tRNA from 1 species
GGAGCGUUGCCAGAGCGGCCAAAUGGCGCCGUUUCGAAAACGGAUGGGCCCUUACGGGCCACGGAGGUUCGAAUCCUCCACGCUCCGCCA